rnacentral:rRNA from 1 species
GUCUAUGAUCAUAACAUCCUGAAUGUACCUGUUCUCAUCUGAUCUCAGAAGCUAGGCACAGUUGGACCUGGUUAGUUCUUGUGGGAGUUACAUUAGGAAUUCCACUUUUCACUUUU